AUGGCGGCGGCUGUUGAAGCUGCCGGCGGCGGCGGCAGCGAUUGGUGCGACGCGAGCGAGGCGACGAGGGGAACCGAGGGGGCGAUGCGGUACGAGGCGAACGAGCGGCGUGGGGCGAUGCGGUACGCGAGGCGAGGAGGGGAUCGAGCGGACGUCGUGGAUGUAGCGUUCGUCGUGGGUGACAAAUUGUUACGUGCUCAUCGACACAUUCUGGCGGCACGAUCGCCGGCCUUCAAGGCAGAGCUUUUGGACCCGAUGACAAAGAAGGACCCUACAAAUCCCGUCAAUGUUCAUGACAUGACGUUCGACAUCUUCGAGGCACUUCUUCAUUUCAUGUACACUAAUACACUCCCACAUGGUAGCGAUCUUCAGAAAAACGGGAUAUUGUGGCGUUUGUUGGCUGUUGGAGAUCGAUAUGGACUGGACAGACUGGUGACGAUUUGCGGAGGGAAGCUAUGCCAAAACAUAAACGAGCAAACAAUCGCGACCACCCUAACUUUAGCGGAGCAGCAUGAUCGCGUGCGACUGAAAAGUGCUUGCCUCGCAUUUGUGUCGUCGCAGGAUGUGCUCGACGUCGUCAAGGAAACCGAUGGAUUCAAGCACCUCAUGAGAAGCUGUCCGUGGGCCCUGAUGGAUAUCUUAAAACAGAAGCUGUCUUCACCGGGGGUAUGCGUAAUUUAUGCUAGAAUUUUCUCUGAAUAA
rnacentral:rRNA from 1 species